UACAGGGGGUGCAAACGUUGCUCGGAAUCAUUGGGCGUAAAGCGCACGUAGGCGGUUCGUUAUGUCGGAUGUGAAAGCCCUUGGCUUAACCGAGGAAGUGCAUCCGAAACUGGCGAGCUAGAGUACGAAAGAGGAUCGCGGAAUUCCCGGUGUAGAGGUGAAAUGCGCAGAUAUCGGGAAGAACACCCGUGGCGAAGGCGGCUCUCUGGGACGGUACUGACGCUGAGACGCGAAAGCGUGGGGAGCGAACAGG
rnacentral:rRNA from 1 species